GAAUACCAUCAGACCUCUCUACAAGCCGCUUUUCCAUGCCCCACAAAUACUCAGCCUCAUAGUUUUCUUCUUUCAAUGCCUCGAUCUGAGCGGAACGAAUCUAAGCAGGUAAACCAGAGUGAAUAGUAAGCUGUAGAGCACGAACACGUUUAGGCUUCGUCUCCUUUCGGCUAAGUGCAUCAGCCACAACAUUAGCUUUCCCCGGAUGAUACUUGAUGGCACACUCAUAAUCGUUCAAAAGCUCCAUCAACGACGCUGCCGCAUAUUCAAUUCCUUCUGGUCGAAGAUAUGCUAGAGACUCCUGUGAUCGGUGUAGAUAGUGGAUUUGGUACCAUACAGAUAAUGCCUCCAAAUCUUCAACGCAAAUACCACCGCCCCUAACUCCAGGUCGUGGGUCGUAUAAUUCUUCUCGUGUACCUUCAACUGACGAGAAGCAUAAGCUAUCACUUUUUCGCGUUGCAUCAACACGCAACCGAGACGCUGAAUGGAAGCAUCACAAUAAACCACAAAAUCCUCCGUACCCUCUGGUAGAGACAAGAUCGGUGCGCUGCAUAAUUUCUGCUUUAAGAGUUAGAAAGCAUCCUCCUGUUUCAUUCCCCAAGAAUAAACAACGUUCUUCUGUGUCAAGGAGGUGAGAGGUUGAGCGAUCUUCAAGAAAUCCAGAAUAAACCGAUGAUAGUACCCCCCAAGACCAAGAAAUUGUGGCACCUCUGAAGGAUUCUUCGGUGCCGCCCAAUUCGUAAUAGCAUCGAUCUUGGCAGGUGUCACACCCCAACCAAUCGCGGAAACAUCGGGAUGAGACGAAGUGUGAAGAUUGCAAGAGUCUUCAUAACGCUAUUUGUAAUAUACAAAUUUAAAAUAAAUACUGCACAAUAAGUAUUCGAAUAAUUAUAUUUCAUUUCAUUAAUAAUGAAUUUUUUUACAAGUAGUGGAACCAGAAUACAACAUGGUUGAAAGUAAAUUACAAUACAACGAGCAAUAAAGUUUAAAUGCGUUUCUAGGUAAAUCCUACUAGAUUCCGGGCAUCUUUAUUUAUAUCGUCAACCUGCAAUACAUGUUAAAGCAUAGUUCAAUACAAAAAGCAUUGGCGAGCAUACAAGUUUUAGAUAUAAUUAUAGAUAAGAAAGCAUUUUAAUCAACUUCGCAUGCGUAACUAACAUACUAGAUUAAUGUAAACAUUAACGCGCGAUUUACAAUUUAUAACACAUAAGACUACAAGUAUAACACGUAAGAUUAUAAGUACAACGCAUAAGACUACAAGUAUAACACGUAAGAUUACAAGUAAAACACAUAAGACUACCAGUAUAACACGUAAGUUGUAUAAAUGAUUUUUAAGUACAUGUAUUGUCCCCAAAAAUAGUAAAGCGUAAAAAGCGGAUCGAGUAUGCUCACAUUGGUUGCGUAUGAGAGUUCCUUGAAUUAUCGCAUGAGUAAAGAUUGGAGAAAGUCCAAGAGAACGAAAUGGUUAUCCUAAAUAAUUAAAAAUAAUACAUAACAAAUCCAUUAAUAGUUGUAGGUUAAAAUACAAUCCCUGAUGUUCAAGAUUUAUAACUUAACUAAUUUGAUAUUAUAUUUUAUCACAUUAUUAACAUUAAUAUUAAAAGAAUUAGAAUAAGUCGUUAAUUCUUUAAGUUAUAAAUGAACGUUAGAGAUUUUUAUAAAAAUGAUGAAUUAAAUAAUAAAUAAAAAAGGUUAUAUAGAUUAUGAAUAGAUUUAGGGAUUUAAAAUAAAAUUUUAAAAAUAAGUCCUCCAAAGAAGUUUAGGAUCCAAUGGAUUUAUUAGCAAAAUUCAUUCUAAAAUUACGAUGGUAAUAUAUGCAAUACAUAGCCUUUUAACCACUAAAAUGGGUAAAAUAAAAAAGACGUUAUCUUUAUGCAUGUUUCAAAAUCAGUAUAUAAACUAUACCAAUUUCUUAUUUACAUAGAAACCACAAAUUUUAUUUUAAAAAUUAUUUUUAUAAGUUGCAAACUAUCUUAAUUCACCAUAUCUCUAUAAGGCUACUGUAGGUAAAAAUUUUAGUGUGCAUAGAUAAGAAAAAAUGAACUUAUAUAUUAUCUUAGAUUUGGCUUGAAUUACAACUAGGCUUUGAAUAAUGA
rnacentral:lncRNA from 1 species